CGGCGACUGUCGGGAGCAUCUCGCGGCUGGUUUACCGGAGUCACGACGACAACAAUAUUAUCGUUAUAAAAUAUUGUAAAAUAUAUGACGCUAUCGUUCGCCUUCAGUUAUAAAAUACGAUGAUACGAUGACGCUCUGUGUGUAUGUGCACGUAAAGCCGAAUCGAUGCGAAUAUCAUACGGCGGGCGCACAAGUCGGUUCGUCCGGCGGCGGAAUCGGCUGAUGGUCGUCGACGACGGAGUUGGCUGACAGUCGGCUGAGACAGACGCGCGGAUCACGUGACGAGAGGACGAGACGAAGCGGACCACGGGCGCACAGGAUCGGCGGCACCGGUGUUAUAUACGCUCCGGCCGGCCGUCGCGCGACUGUUGGAAACGCGUUAGCGCACGCGAUAACGCGGCCGCGGAGGAGAACACACACGCGCGCAGCCUUGAACGGACGGCGCCGGCCGUAUCUAAGGUUACGCAGCCGUCAGAUGGAGGAGCAACUGAGACAGUCCCCCCCUCAACCUGUUUCUGCAGAUUUGGGCUACUGAAUAAAUAGUGUGUGCCUACUAAAAAUUCACUUUUCGGUAAGUUUACCUACCUGUUAAUUAAUAAACGCAUAUGAAUUUGAAAA